rnacentral:tRNA from 4 species
AGCAUGUUAGCUCAGCAGGUGGAGCGUCGGGCUCAUGACCCGGAGGUAAGUCAAGGUUCCCACGCCAUUUAUCCAUAAAAACAUCAAACUAACAAUACCUAGACCCUGGAUCGAAACCAGGACAUGCUA